rnacentral:rRNA from 1 species
GACUACUGGGGUAUCUAAGCCUGUUUGCUACCCACGCUUUCGUGCAUCAGCGUCAGUUACAGCUUAGCAAGCUGCCUUCGCAAUCGGUGUUCUGUGUCAUAUCUAAGCAUUUCACCGCUACAUGACACAUUCCGCCUACCUCAACUGUACUCAAGACCAACAGUAUCAAUGGCAGUUCCCAAGUUGAGCUUGGGGCUUUCACCACUGACUUAUAGGUCCGCCUACGCACCCUUUAAACCCAAUAAUUCCGGAUAACGCUUGCAUCCUUCGUAUUACCGCGGCUGCUGGCACGAAGUUAGCCGAUGCUUAUUCUUACAGUACCAUCAACCCUCUACACGUAGAGGGGUUUUGUCCCGUAUAAAAGAAGUUUACAACCCAUAGGGCCUUAAUCCUUCACGCGGCAUGGCUGGAUCAGGCUUGCGCCCAUUGUCCAAUAUUCCUUACUGCAGCCCCCCGUAGG